AUGACUUUCAGAUGUCUAGCACAUGCGGGCCUGUUGUUGGCGGAUCUGUCUUGGUCUCUUGUGUCUGUGUGUGUGUUCAGGAUUCACUGCUCUCCAAAGUAUUUUUGCUCUUGUGUUCUUCCCGUAAAAGCAGGCAGGCUGCCACAUGCUCGCACGCCCCGUCCACAUGAUCUGAGAGAGAGAGAGAGAGAGAGACGGGAGGAGGAGGCUCUUAAUGCAAAUUUGACGUGGCUCCAGAGGGAGGAGAGGACGGAGAUAAGCCGUGACAGGAUUGUGCAGGGAAGGGAUGGUGGUUUAUUACACGGCUCUGGGGCGUGCAUUUCUGUGGCCGACGUGUCUGGACACUUCGGCUGUGACUGAACACAAAAGAUUGGAAAAGAGAGAGAGAGAGAGAUCUGAGACAGUGAUGUCACUCAUUCCCGAUAGCGAUGGGGAUCAUGUGGAAUUUCGGUUUUGAUUCCUUAACAGUUUUAGUUUCUUAACAAAGCUAUUAGUACUUGACUGCUAUAUUUAAAGUGCACAGUUCAUCCUAAAAUUUAAAUUCUGUCAGCUUUUACCCUCCACUCGUCUGUCCAGGCCGAGCUGUGAAUGUCAUGAGUUCAGUGAAUCAGUCAAGAGUGAAUCAUUUCACUGAUUCAAACUGAUUUUUGAUUAUUUUGAAUCAUUUGAUCAUUAAUCGGACUGUCAGACAGAGUUGUUAUCGUUAACGAAAAUCAAAACAUUUUAUUUCAACUGUUUUAACUAUAAAAAAUGUUAACUGUUUAAAAUUUGGUUGAAAUGAACUCAGAAAUUGCUAAUAGAUUUCACAAAUAAAGUAGUUAUUGAAGACUGAAAUAAUAUUUUUUUAUUGUAUAAACAUACUCCAGUUAACUUGUUUUACUUUAUAUAAAGUUUAAUUUUAACUUUAUUUUUUACAGUUUAUAGCUGAAAUAAUCUUUAACAAAAUCUUUAACAAGUGUUUUUUAUAAAUAUUUUGUUAUUAAUUAAAACGAAUCCUUACAGUAUAAAAGUAUUACUUCUUUUUAAAAAAAACU
ensembl:lncRNA